rnacentral:rRNA from 1 species
UACGUGUGAGGCAAGCGUUUAUUCGUCAUUAAUGGGUCUAAAGGGUACGUAGGCGGUGUGCUUAAUCAUGUUUAAUAAACACGUAAGAGUGAGCAUGAUAAUAAUACACUAGAGUUUGAAAGGAGUAAACAAUUACCACAAGAGUUAGAGAUACAAAUGCGGAAAUACUUGAGGGGGUGCUAAGCGGCGUAGGCAUGUUACUAUUGAAAAACUGACGCUGAGGUAACGAAGCUAGGGUAGUCGAAAAGGGAUUAAGGAAUACC